rnacentral:lncRNA from 1 species
CUUGGCCAAGGGGUAGCUCUCUCUGGAAUCUGGCCGAGGUUGACCACUGCCACAGCGGCCAGGAAACCAACUGCUGCUCCCAGAGCCUGGCAGCCAAAGAACAGUAGGAACACAGCCACUUGCAUUCCUGACUCCCCGAAUGAAGGCUGCAGGGACACAUAUGUUUGAGCUGAGUGACUGCCCCUUUGGGAGAAAGGGAGCCUCAUCCACCCAUGCAGUUGCUUCUCCAGGAAGUCUCUUUGUCCAGCCAAGCUGACAAGAUGAACUGGCAGACCACCGGUAAAACACUGAGUCAGUUCUGUGCGUGGACCCAGCUGUGGAGCCGCCUGUGAGGUGAGGACACCGGGGCCUCAGUUGGCUGCAGACCCUGGUGGGAACCCUGUGUGUGCCCAGCCCCUCAAGCAGCAGUGUCUCCGUGGGCACGGUCAUCCGCAGACCACCUUGCGGGGCAGCUUUCCCACUGGGACAGACAUCUGGUGCGGGCACUGAGGAGGAGGAAGAGCUAUUUGGCUCACGGUUCAGGUGCUGUAUGCCUGGGCGCACAGUACAUGGUGGUGGGAGCUGUGCUGUACCAGGCUUCUCACCUCACAGAAACCAGGAAGCACAGAGGAAGGGGAGGGUCCCCACCUCUCUGAGCCCACGCCCCAGUGACCUCACUUCCACCCACCAGGCCCCCCACCUGCUCCCAGGAGCAGCGGGCGCUGGCAUAGGACAUCCGGGAACCACACCAUGACAGCCGCUGAGCCUGCAGCUCCUGCUCUGCUUGGGGAUGCGAACGAC